rnacentral:rRNA from 1 species
UACGAAGGGGGCUAGCGUUGUUCGGAAUCACUGGGCGUAAAGCGCACGUAGGCGGAUUUUUAAGUCAGGGGUGAAAUCCCGGGGCUCAAUCUCGGAACUGCCUUUGAUACUGGAGAUCUUGAGUCCGGAAGAGGUAAGUGGAACUGCGAGUGUAGAGGUGAAAUUCGUAGAUAUUCGCAAGAACACCAGUGGCGAAGGCGGCUUACUGGUCCGGAACUGACGCUGAGGUGCGAAAGCGUGGGGAGCAAACAGG